rnacentral:rRNA from 1 species
GUGCCCAGGCGCGAAAACUUUACAAUGCCGGCAACGGCGAUCAGGGAACCUCGAGUGCCAGGUUACAAAUCUGGCUGUCGUGAUGCCUAAAAAGCAUUGCAUAGCAAGGACCGGGCAAGACCGGUGCCAGCCGCCGCGGUAACACCGGCGGCUCGAGUGGUAACCGUUAUUAUUGGGUCUAAAGGGUCUGUAGCCGGCCGGGUAAGUCUCUUGGGAAAUCUGGCAGCUUAACUGUCAGGCUUUCAGGAGAUACUGCCUGGCUCGAGGCCGGGAGAGGUGAGAGGUACUUCAGGGGUAGGGGUGAAAUCUUGUAAUCCUUGAAGGACCACCAGUGGCGAAGGCGUCUCACCAAAACGGACCUGACGGCAAGGGACGAAAGCUAGGGGCACGAACCGGAUUAAAUACCCGGGCAGUCCUAGCCGUAAACGAUACUCGCUAGGUGUCGGCCACGGUGCGACCGUGGUCGGUGCCGUAGGGAAGCCGUGAAGCGAGCCACCUGGGAAGUACGGCCGCAAGGCUGAAACUUAAAGGAAUUGGCGGGGGAGCAC